GUUCUAAUAUAAUUUUAUUUACAGAAGAAACAAAAAAAAAAUUGAAGGACAAAACGUAACACUAUCUGAAGAAGAUGCAGUGCAUGUAGAUCCUCUCAAUGAACAUUAUUAUCAAGAAAAACCUCCUUUCUUAGAUGUGACUCAACCGAUGUUUGAAUCUAAUAUGGGCUUAACAAAUCCUGUUUUUGAAUUGUUACCUGAGCCAUCUUCAGUCCUUAAAAAGAGACGAGUGUUUGCCGAGGACCAACAGGAGCUAGAAGUUAAUAAUGACGAGAAUAUUGGUUGGAGUGGCUUCGAAGUUGACGUUUAAAUAGUAUAGUGUGAUAAUAUUAUGUCUAGUGAAGGACUUGUUAUUUUAUUUAUUUUAUCAUUAAUAAACACUCUUUUUGAAAUAA
rnacentral:lncRNA from 1 species